rnacentral:sRNA from 1 species
ACUUAUCCAGAUCACAUUUUUGGAUAUCACUGGAAGUAUUAAUUCCUCCUAUCCC